rnacentral:rRNA from 1 species
GUGGGGAAUCUUGCGCAAUGGGCGAAAGCCUGACGCAGCCAUGCCGCGUGGAUGAUGAAGGUCUUAGGAUUGUAAAAUCCUUUCACCGGUGAAGAUAAUGACUGUAGCCGGAGAAGAAGCCCCGGCUAACUUCGUGCCAGCAGCCGCGGUAAUACGAAGGGGGCUAGCGUUGCUCGGAUUUACUGGGCGUAAAGGGCGCGUAGGCGGACAUUUAAGUCAGGGGUGAAAUCCCGGGGCUCAACCUCGGAACUGCCGUUGAUACUGGGUGUCUUGAGUAUGAGAGAGGUGUGUGGAACUCCGAGUGUAGAGGUGAAAUUCGUAGAUAUUCGGAAGAACACCAGUGGCGAAGGCGACACACUGGCUCAUUACUGACGCUGAGGCGCGAAAGCGUGGGGAGCAAACAGGAUUAGAAACCCUGGUAGUCC